rnacentral:rRNA from 1 species
CCUGGCGGCCUUAGCGCGGUGGUCCCACCUGACCCCAUGCCGAACUCAGAAGUGAAACGCCGUAGCGCCGAUGGUAGUGGGGUCUCCCAUGCGAGAGAGUAGGGAACUGCCAGGC